rnacentral:rRNA from 1 species
AGGGUGUAAACGCUGCGGGCUUGGUGUUGGGGGUCCUUUGAGGGCGCCCAGUGCCGGAGAGAAGUUGUUAAGCCUGCUGCUUGGGGAGUACGUCCGCAAGGAUGAAACUUAAAGGAAUUGGCGGGGGAGCACCACAACGGGUGGAGCCUGCGGUUUAAUUGGACUCAACGCCGGAAAUCUCACCGGAUAGGACAGACAUAUGAUAGUCGGGCUGAAGACUCUACUUGAUGAUCUGAGAGGAGGUGCAUGGCGUCAGUGACU